CCAACCUAGAAAACUUUGCAAAUGAUUUACUACAUUUGAUUAAAACAAUAAAGUUUUGGGAUAUAAAUAACCAUUUCCAAAAAGAACUCAAAAAAGACAAUAAAAUAAAAUCAAACCCUAAUAUUUUAGUUUUUAGACACAAGUUGUUGAAGAAAAAUAUUAGAUAAAUGUUUUUACUAAUUUAUUAUUGCUCUGUUCUUUAAGAACAUUGAGCACUCUAUUUGUAGAAUAUUUGUUUAUAUAUCGUCAAUUUGUUAUAUAUAGUCAAGCAUCUGCUUGACUAUAAGAGCAAGCAACUAGAAACAUUUUAUGUAAAAAUUUGAUAACUUUUACAUGAAAAUUUAAUAGAAUUUAAUGCAUACAAGUGGUGGUAUAUAAAUAAUAUAAACAUAUCAUGACAUCUAUGGCAUUACAUAUCAUAAGUUAUUCACAGUUAACUGAAAUUUAAUAAAUUACUGUAAUAUAUAUAUAUAUAUAUUUUUUUUUUAUUGAUAGCACAUUUCAGAUAGAUUGCCCAUAUGGAAUCUGGAUAAAUGUAUCCGAAAAUGAUUCACAAUUAUGCAUACAAAAGUUGGUAUUGGAGCACAACCAUGUCGUUGACAAAGAAUUAUUUAACAAUCUGCCAAAAAGAAGAAAAUUAAAUUCCGAUGAAAAAGAAGAUGUUUGCCGUCUUUUGAGUAUGCACGGAAGCAAGUGGCUUAUUAAAGAUCAAGUUAUGAAGGAAACAGGU